UAUUUGGUGCUAAAGGUGGUGCCACAUCAAUCUCAAGAGACGGUGAUGUUAGGUGGCAGAAUGCAGAGCUGUCAACUGAAAGUGGAUACGCAGUCUGAAGGUUGGCAUAAAACAAUCACCAAAAUUUUUUCCACUGUCGAAGGAGUUUCAUAUUAGAUUCACGUGGAGAGAGUAGUGGCAAGUGUGAGUGGAAAUGUAGACCUUCAAAGCUUCUUGAAGAUGCUUUCAAAAUCAGGCAAACGCGUAGAGCUUCUUCUUCUUCAGCUGGAAUCAGCUGCCGCAUCUUCAGCAUUUGAUCAUGGCCACACAUCAU